AUCGCCCUACGGUGUGCGUGAGAUCAAGCCAUAGUUUUGAGCCAACACAUUUACUUAGGGAGUCUGGACUCUGGUUGUGGCAUGCAAGCCCACAUAGAUGGGAAACAUAAAGCAAUCAGGAGGACACCCACCUGCCGAGAGCAGGUUCAAAACAACGGCACCACGGCAUAGUGGGGUACUA
rnacentral:other from 1 species